rnacentral:rRNA from 1 species
CUUGCACGGAUCUUUUAGAAAGUGGCGAACGGGUGAGUAACGCGUGGGUAACCUACCCUAUGGAAAGGAAUAGCCUCGGGAAACUGGGAGUAAUGCCUUAUAAGAUAUAUUUGUCGCAUGGCAGAUGUAUUAAACGCUCCGGUGCCAUAGGAUGGACCCGCGUCCCAUUAGCUAGUUGGUGAGAUAACAGCUCACCAAGGCGACGAUGGGUAACCGGUCUGAGAGGGCGAACGGUCACACUGGAACUGAGACACGGUCCAGACUCCUACGGGAGGCAGCAGUGGGGAAUAUUGCGCAAUGGGGGAAACCCUGACGCAGCAAUACCGCGUGAGUGAAGAAGGUUUUCGGAUCGUAAAGCUCUGUUAUUGGGGAAGAAAAAAAGACGGUACCCAAGAAGAAAGUCCCGGCUAACUACGUGCCAGCAGCCGCGGUAAUACGUAGGGGACAAGCGUUGUCCGGAUUUACUGGGCGUAAAGGGCACGCAGGCGGUUUUUUAAGUCAGAUGUGAAAGGUACCGGCUCAACCGGUGACAUGCAUUUGAAACUGAAAGACUUGAGUAUUGGAGAGGCAAGUGGAAUUCCUAGUGUAGCGGUGAAAUGCGUAGAUAUUAGGAGGAACACCGGUGGCGAAAGGCGGCUUGCUUGGACAAAAUACUUGACGCUGAGGUGCC